rnacentral:lncRNA from 1 species
AUUGGGAGUUGGGUUUUGUCUGGAGGAAGCAGCUUCUAGGAACUGCCUUUGUACGGUUUGUUUCUCCUCAGCUUAUCUCCCACUUGCUCUUCUUGGUAGUUACCAGGAAGUGAAUAGCAUCCGUCCCUCUGCCCUUCCUCCACCCGACACCCUGACACAAUGUUUCAGCAUUACCUUAAGCCUCUAGCAAUGAACUCAGCUUAAAGUGUCUGAAACCUGUGAAACUAUGAGCCAAAAUGACCCUUUCCACCUUCAGUGUAUUCUCUUGGGUGUUAGUCACAGCGGAGGAAAAGUGACUAAUACCUACACAAAUUUCAUUGCACUAAAAUGACAGGAUGUGACCUUCGCCUUGAAAAAACAACUACUAAAAUUGCUGUCAAAAAUUGUACCCAGAUAAUGAGUACCGUAUGGAGCCACAGAUACUGUUUCCUUAGUAAAUAUCAAAUACUGCAGUUCAUGUUGGAGCUACUACCUCAGAUUUCAUCUCGUACAGACAAGCUGUGUCACCUUGGGCAGGUAAUGUAAUUUCUCUGUGCUUUGUGCCCAUGGGUGAGUACCUCCAUAUAUAAAAUGAUGCUGAUUGGAAGCGUUGUUUCUAAGAGACCCUAUGGUUAAUCCGUUUAUUGCAUGUAAUACAAUAAGAAGGUGCCUGGCAUGUAAUUGUUCCUAUAUAAAUAUGUUCCGCUGCUCUCAGAGUACCUGCCUAACUACAUGGUUAUAAUUUUGUGUAAUGAAAAACUUCAUUAAGAAAUGCUGACCAAUGUUUUCCAAAUCUCUGAAUUUAAUUACUAUAAAUAAUUUGGAUAAAGAACAUGCAGGGAUGUAUUUAUACUAAGUCUACUCUGAGGACAUGGACUUGUUUGCAUACACAAGAGUUAGGUGUUUCAUGAGCAUGAACUGAAAGCCCCUGAUCAGCAGGAAGUGGUCUAACAAUAAUGGCACUUCCUUUCUGACCUCUGCCUUUAUUCAGGAGUCUCUUUCCUUACUUCUCUAUCCUUUUAUCUAUUAAAAUGAAGAAUGAGUACUAUAGAUAAAUGUAAAAAUUGGAACCUUAUAUUGGUCUCCAAUGGAUUUAAAGCAGUGGUUCUCAGCCUUCCAAAUGCUGUGAUCCUUGAAUGCAGUUCCUCGUGUUGUGGUGGCACCUAUCCCAUGAAAUGAUUUUCAUUGCUGCUUCAUAGCUUGUGAUUUUGCUACUGUUAUGAUUUAUAAUGUAAAUAUCUAUGUUUUCUGUUAGUCUUUAGGCAGCCCCAUGAAAGGGUUGUUCUACCCCUAAAGGAAUUGUAACACAGAUUGAGAAACACUACUUUAAAUGUUCAUUCCUGUGGUACACUGCUGGCUGACGUGCAAUAGUAAUGAGAAGCCUCAUUUCCUUUUACUGUGAUAAUGCUCAGAAAUGAUGUAGAUUUUGCCAUGGUGUUAUUUAUACAACAAAUUCCGGCCUUGUACAAACCGACAGCUUAAAGACAGUAUUUUGUCUAUGCCAGAACUGACUGGGGAAUAUCUAAAGCCAUACCCUGCAGUAAGAAUUUUGCAAUUUUAGUUUCUUUAAAAAUAUUAUGAGAAUAUUUUAUAAGAACUAUAAGAUAUAUUAUAAAGUAAUAUAAAAUUAAUAAAAAUAAAAGAAUAUAAGAAAUAUUAUAAGAAUGUAUUUAGGUUUUAAUCCCAGGUGUGGCAUAUGGGAAGGCUUCAGACUAUUCAUGGAAGCUGACUGAUAUCUCUUGUGCUCUAACAGGGCAUGACUUUACCAGCUGCGGAUAGUUUCUAAGACUGGGUGACAUUUGGAAUUCUGGGGACUUUUCAGAGGGUAUAUAAAUGCUAGGGCCCUUAGAGGUGGGGUGAGUUGUUGGUUGUCGUUGGUUGUUGUUGGUUGUCAUUGGUUGCUGUUGGUUGCUGUUGCUUGGUUGUUGGUUGAAGUUUGUUAAAUAGUCAUGCACAAAGAAGAAACAAUAAAAAGAAGACAUUAAAUAUCCUGAUAUUGAAGAUAAAACUUGCCCCAAGUAAUUGAAAGCCCCUAUUCAGCAGUGUUAGCAUCAGAAGCUGUUUACAAACAGCCUCUAAAUCCAGUAAUGAUGUCAUUCCUAGGUGACAGAACCCUCCUGCAUCUGUUCCCAUGACAACCAUUACACAUUCCCUGUGCAUGUCUUGCCUGCAGUUACCUGUGUUAUCUACAUCAUGGCACGGAUAAAAGACACAGACCCCAACCUAUCUCUCGCUUUUUCUUCCUCACCUCUUCCCUGUUGUCUCCCAAACAAAAAGAGCCCAGGACCAGAUAGGUUUAGUGCAGAGUUCUAUCAGACCUUCAAAGAAGACCUAAUUCCAGUUCUCAAACUAUUCCAC